CAACUUUUGGAUAUUAUAUGAAAAGAAAAUAUAUAUUAUUAUAUAGGCUGUUUCUAGAUGGAGUGUAUACCCAUGUCAGACAUUUUGUUUAAAAAAAUAUACAGCUUCUCAAAGUAUAUAACAAUUCCGAUAAAUGCAAAGCUCUGAAAGGCAAAUGUGAAUCUUUAUCUAGGGUAGAUCACAGAGCAGGAUUAAACAUAGGGUGUCCUUAGGCAGCCAUCUAGGCCCCAAGAUUUAUGCAGGCCUCGAAACCAUGAAUUUGCUAUGCACAACUGCCAUCCUUAUGUGACAAAUGAACAGGGGGCAUAGUCUACAACAGUCUGAAUCCUUCAGUAUUCACCCACCUAGGCCGAAGGCCGUGAGGAGAUUCCCUCCGACGCAUUGUCCACACAGAUGGAAGACUAUCUGCCAUAGGCAGCUACAAGGUCUUCUGUUUCUAACAGAACUUGGACUCUCAGUAGCCCCGAGUCUGGUUUACAGAUGCCAGCCGUUGUAGGGGCUUGGGGGAGGAAGUUGACCAUGCCUGCUUCCAAUAGUGAUGCCAACUUCUUUGUCCAAAUGUGUUGCCUAUGCCAUUUCCCACUCUGUUUGUUGGUUAGGGGGGAUGUCACAUACUUGCCCAGUCCUACUGCUCCCUUUCAGUGAAUUCCUUACUUGCAAUGAAAGCUAUUUUACUACUUAAACAUUUAUUUGAUAUCUAAUGCUGUGUGUCAUUUAUUUUCUUAUUUUUAAUUUCCUUUAUGGUCUCCAUUUUCAGUUCAGUGUAUCACAGUUUUCCAAUAACGAGCUCAUGCCCCAGGGGUUUCCCUAUACAUUGGUACCUCGGUUUACGAAUUAAAUGCGUUCUCCGAGAUGUUUCUUACAACGAAAAAUUUGUAAACCGAAGCGAGGUUUCCCAUAGGAAUACAUUGAAAACCAAUUAAUCCGUUCUGGAGAUAAAAAAAUAAAUAAAAAUGAGCUGGCAUGGAAACCAACCUACAAUCUAGAACACACAGUAAAAGGCAUGCAAACGACGGAGCUCAGCUCCCUACCUUUCCACCACUUCAGAAAUGCACCCAAAAAGUCCCAAAACCCCUGCAAAAAAUUUCCAGAAUGGCUACAAAACUUGAUGAAAAAGCCGCUCCAACAACUCCAUAAUCAACGCCACAUGCUACCCACAGACUCCAGCAUGCACAGGGGCAGCGCUAUAAACCUCCCAGGCGCAAUGCAUCCUGGGGAAACUUGCUUUGUAAAAAAUUUGUAAACCG